GUCAACGGUCACAGAGGAGUGGAAACACCUGCACUCGUCCCGAACGCAGAAGUUAAGCGCUCCAUCGAUCCGGGUGGUACUGCAUAACAUGUGGGAAGCCCGGGACGCUGUUGACA
rnacentral:rRNA from 1 species